GGGGGUGAACUGGAUUCGACGGGGGUCAAGAGGCCAGUGGAGGCAUGCCGAGCGCUCCGCGACUCGUUAAAAUCGUGGAAACUUAAAAACAACUGCUGAAAAUCAGCUAGCACUGGCCGCUUAAAGCGGUCACGUCUCGCCGAUUCUGCCUGCGGAGCCGGAGUGAGACGUCACACAGCAGGCUGGGCAAGAACCCCGGGCUCUGGGGUUCGAGCCGAGAUCUCUUAGAGCCCGCGGUGCGCCGUCCUUGCCGGUUCGAACGGCUCGCUUGCGAAACCUAACGAAUUCGGAUACGCAUGUAGGCUCUACUCGCUGAAGUCUCUCGGACGCGGGUUCGAUUCCCGCCACCUCCACCA
rnacentral:tmRNA from 1 species